UCCGUUGGUGAACCAGCGGAGGGAUCAUUACCGAGUUUUCAACUCCCAAACCCUUAUGUGAACUCACCUAUCGUUGCUUCGGCGGACUCGCCCCAGCCGGACGGGACUGGACCAGCGGCCCGCCGGGGACCUCAAACUCUUGUAUUCCAGCAUCUUCUGAAUACGCCGCAAGGCAAAACAUAUGAAUCAAAACUUUCAACAACGGAUCUCUUGGCUCUGGCAUCGAUGAAGAACGCAGCGAAAUGCGAUAAGUAAUGUGAAUUGCAGAAUCCAGUGAAUCAUCGAAUCUUUGAACGCACAUUGCGCCCGCCAGCAUUCUGGCGGGCAUGCCCUUUCGAGCGUCAUUUCAACCCUCGACCCCCCCUUGGGGAGGUCGGCGUUGGGGACGGCAGCACACCGCCGGCCCUGAAAUGGAGUGGCGGCCCGUCCGCGGCGACCUCUGCGUAGUAAUACAGCUCGCACCGUAACCCGACGCGGCCUCACCGUAAAACGACCCAACUUCUGAACGUUGACCUCGAAUCAGGUAGGACUACCCGCUGAACUUAAGCAUAUCAAUAAGCGGAGGAC
rnacentral:rRNA from 1 species